AGAAUCAACGCUGGCGGCGUGCCUAACACAUGCAAGUCGAACGAGAAAGGGGAGCAAUCCCUGAGUAAAGUGGCGACCGGGUGAGUAACACGUGACUAACCUACCCUCGAGUGUGGAAUAACAUCGGGAAACCGAUGCUAAUACCGCAUAACAUCGGCGCUUUUAAGAGAUGCCGAUCAAAGGAGCAAUCCGCUUGAGGGAGGGGGUCGCGGCUGAUUAGCUAGUUGGCGGGGUAACGGCCCACCAAGGCGAAGAUCGGUA
rnacentral:rRNA from 1 species